rfam:Nicotiana sylvestris Nsyl_contig79698, whole genome shotgun sequence.
AUAUCAUGGUGUGGACAUUUUCUUAACAAUACUUUUAACCUUUCUCAAGCUUGACAAACUGACUGUGUGUCAGUUUGCAAGAAAUUAGAUAUGUCUUGUCUUAAAUU